GACGAACGCUGGCGGCGUGCUUAACACAUGCAAGUCGAACGGUAAGGCCCCUUCGGGGGUACACGAGUGGCGAACGGGUGAGUAACACGUGAGCAACCUGCCCUUGACUCUGGAAUAACAGUUGGAAACAGCUGCUAAUACUGGAUAUUCAUCGUCUCCUUCCUGGGGGGUGGUGGAAAGCUCCGGCGGUCAGGGAUGGGCUCGCGGCCUAUCAGCUUGUUGGUGAGGUAAUGGCUCACCAAGGCUUCGACGGGUAGCCGGCCUGAGAGGGCGACCGGCCACACUGGGACUGAGAUACGGCCCAGACUCCUACGGGAGGCAGCAGUGGGGAAUAUUGCACAAUGGGCGCAAGCCCGAUGCAGCAACGCCGCGUGCGGGAUGACGGCCUUCGGGUUGUAAACCGCUUUCAGUAGGGACGAAGGGUGACUGACGGUACCUACAGAAGAAGGACCGGCUAACUACGUG
rnacentral:rRNA from 1 species